GUCGCUCGGCUGGUCGGAAUGGUGAUUUCUCGGGACGCUCGAAGUCUCCCUCGGGACGAAGAUUAUCAUCAGGUCUUAUGGGCUUCGGUCGCUCUCCAGGACGAUACUCUGGACGCUCAGGAGUCUGGAACUCACCCUCAGUACGCAGAUUAUCCUCAGGUCUUAUGGGCUUCGGUCGCUCUCCAGGACGAUACUCUGGACGCUCAGGAGUCUGGAACUCUCCUUCAGUACGCAGAUUAUCCUCAGGUUUGAUCUGCUUCGGACGCUCGGCCGGUCUGUACUGAGGCUUCUCAGGCUUCUCGAACUCUCCUUCCGGUCUGAGGUUAUCUUGAGGACGAACCUGCUUCGGUCGCUCGGCCGAUUUGUACUGAGGCUUCUCUGGAGUAGAGAACUCGCCCUCGGGACGAAGAUUGUCCUCAGGACGAACCUGCUUCGGUCGCUCGGCUGGUCGGAAUGGUGAUUUCUCGGGACGCUCGAAGUCUCCCUCGGGACGAAGAUUAU